UUUAUGGAGAGUUUGAUCCUGGCUCAGGAUGAACGCUGGCGGCGUGCCUAAUACAUGCAAGUCGAGCGAACAGACGAGGAGCUUGC
rnacentral:rRNA from 2 species